rnacentral:rRNA from 1 species
CAGCAGCCGCGGUAAUACGGAGGGGGCUAGCGUUGUUCGGAAUUACUGGGCGUAAAGCGCACGUAGGCUGCUUUGUAAGUCAGAGGUGAAAGCCCGGGGCUCAACCCCGGAUGUGCCUUUGAGACUGCAGAGCUAGAACGUCGGAGAGGUGAGUGGAAUUCCGAGUGUAGAGGUGAAAUUCGUAGAUAUUCGGGAGAACACCAGUGGCGAAGGCGGCUCACUGGACGACUGUUGACGCUGAGGUGCGAAAGCGUGGGGAGCAAACAGGAUUAGAUACCCCGGUAGUCCCUGUCUCUUAUAC